GACGAACGCUGGCGGUGUGCUUAACACAUGCAAGUCGAACGGUAAGGCCCUUUCGGGGGUACACGAGUGGCGAACGGGUGAGUAACACGUGAGUAACCUGCCCUCAUCUCUGGGAUAACAGUCGGAAACGGUUGCUAAUACUGGAUAUGAGCUUGCAAGGCAUCUUGUCGGUUGGAAAGAUUUUUUUUGGUUGGGGAUGGACUCGCGGCCUAUCAGCUUGUUGGUGAGGUAGUGGCUCACCAAGGCUUCGACGGGUAGCCGGCCUGAGAGGGCGACCGGCCACAUUGGGACUGAGAUACGGCCCAAACUCCUACGGGAGGCAGCAGUGGGGAAUAUUGCACAAUGGACGGAAGUCUGAUGCAGCAACGCCGCGUGCGGGAUGACGGCCUUCGGGUUGUAAACCGCUUUCAAUUGUGACGAAGCUUUUUUGUGACGGUAGCAGUAGAAGAAGCACCGGCUAACUACGUG
rnacentral:rRNA from 1 species